CGACAGGAGACGCAUCCAUCCAUGAUGUAUACGACUAAAAUAGUCUAGCUUGCUACAUUUCCAGAUAUUACACGUUUCAGAUUUUGAUAGAAAGUGGUUUCAUUUCAAGUUAAAGUGUACUCUUAGCUAGCUAACGUUAGCUGGCUGGCUCGCUAGCUAUCUUUAGUGUAUGAUCUUAUUAUUCAUAUCUCAGAGCCAUUUGCUUGACCAUUUGCUAGCUACAUGUCUUAACAAAACUCCACUAAGUAUCCAUUUCAAUAGAAUGCCACUGCAACAAUUGUUGAUAGAUGUACUAGCUGGUAAAUUCGCUCUGGCUAUCUACUCCGAUUUCAGACCACGGUCCCCAGUUGUCUUGAAAGCACCAUAAGUCCAGAGAAUGCCAGACUUUGAUGACAACAUUUGCCCACGAAGGACCGUCGCGCCACCUUCCUGUUUAAGUGUGCACAGCACAACAAGGCGGCGAAUCGCAUCUCUGCAUGUCUGUCAGACAUAUCAGUGUGGAUGACGGAUCACCAGCUCAAGCUGAACCUCGGCAAGACGGAGCUGCUCUUCAUCCCGGGGAAGGACUG
rnacentral:lncRNA from 1 species